GCUACGGGGGGCAGCAGUGAGGGAUAUUGGUCAAUGGGGGAAACCCUGAACCAGCAACGCCGCGUGAGGGAAGACGGUUUUCGGAUUGGAAACCUCUGUCCUCGGUGAAGAGGAUGACGGUAGCAGAGGAGGAAGCUCCGGCCAACUACGUGCCAGCAGCCGCGGUAAUACGUCGGGAGCAAGAGUGGUCCGGAUUUACCGGGUGUAAAGGGUGCGUAGGCGGCUUGGCAAGUCAGAAGUGAAAUCCAUGGGCUUAACCCAUGAACUGCUUUUGAAACUGCCGUGCUUGAGUGGAGUAGAGGUAGGCGGAAUUCCCGGUGUAGCGGUGCAAUGCGUAGCUAUCGGG
rnacentral:rRNA from 1 species